AUUGAACGCUGGCGGCAUGCUUUACACAUGCAAGUCGAACGGUAACAGGGUGCUUGCACCGCUGACGAGUGGCGAACGGGUGAGUAAUGCGUCGGAACGUGCCGAGUAGUGGGGGAUAACGCAGCGAAAGUUGUGCUAAUACCGCAUACGUACUGAGGUAGAAAGUGGGGGACCUUCGGGCCUCACGCUAUUCGAGCGGCCGACGUCUGAUUAGCUAGUAGGUGAGGUAAAGGCUCACCUAGGCGACGAUCAGUAGCGGGUCUGAGAGGAUGAUCCGCCACACUGGGACUAAGACACGGCCCAGACUCCUACGGGAGGCAGCAGUGGGGAAUUUUGGACAAUGGGCGAAAGCCUGAUCCAGCCAUGCCGCGUGUCUGAAGAAGGCCUUCGGGUUGUAAAGGACUUUUGUCGGGGAGGAAAUCCCCAGCGUUAAUACCGCUGGGGGAUGACAGUACCUGAAGAAUAAGCACCGGCUAACUACGUGCCAGCAGCCGCGGUAAGAC
rnacentral:rRNA from 1 species